UUUGUGGUGAAUAGCUAUUAACAUGCAAGAACUCUUUAAUAUUGAAUUUUUUCUAUGAAAUGUGCUUGUUAUGUUUGGCUUCUAAGCUAC